rnacentral:rRNA from 1 species
GAUGAACGCUAGCUACAGGCUUAACACAUGCAAGUCGCGGGGCAGCAUGGGGGUUGCUUGCCAUCCCUGAUGGCGACCGGCGCACGGGUGAGUAACGCGUAUCCAACCUGCCCUUCACCACGGGCUAACCCGGCGAAAGUCGGACUAAUACCGUAUGUUGUCCAUUGACGGCAUCCGAUUUGGACGAAAGGCUUAGCGGUGAGGGAUGGGGAUGCGUCCGAUUAGCUUGACGGCGGGGUAACGGCCCACCGUGGCUACGAUCGGUAGGGGUUCUGAGAGGAAGGUCCCCCACACUGGAACUGAGACACGGUCCAGACUCCUACGGGAGGCAGCAGUGAGGAAUAUUGGUCAAUGGGCGUAAGCCUGAACCAGCCAAGUAGCGUGCAGGAUGACGGCCCUAUGGGUUGUAAACUGCUUUUAUGCGGGGAUAAAGGGACCCACGUGUGGGUUUUUGCAGGUACCGCAUGAAUAAGGACCGGCUAAUUCCGUG